CCUACGGGUGGCAGCAGUGAGGAAUAUUGGUCAAUGGACGAGAGUCUGAACCAGCCAAGUAGCGUGAAGGAUGACUGCCCUAUGGGUUGUAAACUUCUUUUAUAAAGGAAUAAAACGAGGCACGUGUGCCUUUUUGCAUGUACUUUAUGAAUAAGGAUCGGCUAACUCCGUGCCAGCAGCCGCGGUAAUACGGAGGAUGCGAGCGUUAUCCGGAUUCAUUGGGUUUAGGGGGUGCGCAGUCGGGCCUUUAAGCCGGCGGUGAAAUCUCGGGGCCCAACCCCGCCGAGCCGUCGGAACGGGGGGACUUGAGUGCGGCGGAGGCAUGCGGAAUGCGCGGUGUAGCGGUGAAAUGCAUAGAUAUCGCGAAGAACCCCGAUUGCGAAGGCAGCGUGCCGUGCCGCCACUGACGCUGAGGCACGAAAGCGCGGGGAGCGAACAGGAUUAGAUACCCGAGUAGUC
rnacentral:rRNA from 1 species